CCUGCAUCAGGUUUGGAGCUGAGGGGCCGCAGUGGGCAGGAGGGAAGGGAUGAGCCUGGGGGAAGAAAAGUUUGUGUACAGAAGACAGGUAGAUGGCGCCCACUCCAGGAGGCUUUCCUGCCCCCACAGGCCCUUCCUGCCCUAUAGAGACCCUCUGCCCUGCCCUGCUCUGAUGUGGGAAGGCAAGGUCAGCAGUUCUCAAAGUACAGUCCCCAAGACCCUUCCAGGGAGACCAGGAGGUCGAAACCAUUUUUUAUAAUAAUACUAAGAGGCUAUCUG